UACGUAGGGGGCAAGCGUUGUCCGGAAUCAUUGGGCGUAAAGAGCGUGUAGGCGGCCUUUUAAGUCCUGCGUGAAAUCCUGCGGCUCAACCGCAGACGGUCGUGGGAAACUGGAAGGCUAGAGUGCGGGAGAGGAGAGUGGAAUUCCCGGUGUAGCGGUGAAAUGCGCAGAUAUCGGGAAGAACACCCGUGGCGAAGGCGGCUCUCUGGAACGCAACUGACGCUGAGACGCGAAAGCGUGGGGAGCAAACAGG
rnacentral:rRNA from 1 species